CUCCCACUCCAGACAGACGCAGGUUAAGAUCCUCUCUGCGAGGGAUCCUGGGAAAGGAGGCUUCUGGGAGCAAACAGGUCUGUCAUCAGCUGCAGCUGUCAACGACGCCAACCUAGAGUCAUCUGCGAAGAGGGAACCUCAGCUGAAGAAUUGUCCAGAUCACAUAGGCCUGUGGUCGUUGACUGCCUACCCCUCUUUCCCACUGACACACACCAACCAUUCUGAAGAUUUAUGCCUUCAUGCCUGCAUGUGCACAAACUGGCCGGGUGAGAGUUGGCCGCCCCAACUGCCAGCACCCCUCCCUGGUUGCUUUCUCCACCCUGAAGUCACCCCAUUGCCUCAGCCUCAAAUCUCUGCAGCCAGGGACUUGGUGAUGAAGUGGGGAAGGGCAUCUUGCUGCAUCAUGAGCUUUGGAGUGUGGCACGCUUCCAGCAUAACAAAUGAAGACUGGCUUCUCUGGAUGGAGCAAAUGACCACCCAGCCAGAGGAGGACACAUUUCUGCAUAUUGUGAUACCCCAGGUGUAUGUGCCGGAUGACAGAGGCAGAGCAGGGGUAAGGACCACUCAGAGAUACGCCAAAGUCACCAGUCACACACCUGGCAUCUGCUUGUUUUUUACCGAAGCUGUAUACUGAAGAACUCAGACAUCAGGACCUGCUGCCUAAUGGAAAGAGCCAGGGAGAAGCUUUUGCUGACUGAAGAUCACUCUGGAUUGAGGACUGACUGUCAACUUUAAUCAUCAACUUGCCAGAGCAGUACAUCUCUGUGAACUUAGGCAAGGGGAAAGCUCCGUGCCAGUUCUAUGUUAUGAAGCAUCAAUAGCCCUUCAAUGAGGAGCGGAGCCUGGAGACCACCUCCCCCCAUCUCUGCUGGAAUCUUGCCUGGCUUGAUCUUGUGCCCAGGAACACACUAGGAAGAGAAUUGAGGGGAAAACGGGGAGCAUUGGGGGGAGGGAAAUGAGGACUAGAUAUGAUAUUUCAUCAUCUGCAAUGUAAAAUUAUCAAGGAUACAGAAAAUUAAAUUAAAAUAAUUAAGUAAAUAAACAAAGAUCAUGGAGUCUUCAGGAAUGACACUCAAAAUUGUCCUCUGGCCUCUACACAAUGCACCCAUACACACAGGAACAUGCACACACAUGAA